UAAAAUCUCAAGCUCAGCUUGGUGUUGGGUGUUCGCCCCUCCCCGUUCCAAGGGGGGUCAGGGCGUGCCUGAAAAUCAGUGGCGGUGCCAUGAUGGCCUCAAGCGUAGUAGACUCUCUCUCUCGCUUUUGGAUGGUUCGUCGUGUGGCUCACCAGCCUAACUUGAAAUCUUAGAAAG
rnacentral:misc_RNA from 1 species